rnacentral:lncRNA from 1 species
GAUUUCGUUCUAAGUACUAAUCUUUAGGGUAUUUUUCUUAAGAAUGUUAAGAUUUUCAUCUGUUGAAAGUUAAUAUGUACUAGAGUGGGACUGGAGCAAUGGUUCAUGAGUUGAGAGUCAUCUUCUAGACGACCCUAGUGGGUCACAGCUACCUAUACCCUGAGCUCCGUGAGCUCCAAUGCUCUCUUGUGACCUCCAAGGGCACCCACACACAUGUGAUGCACACUAGACACAUAAUGUCCAAAGGACAAAAAGCAGUAACAUCCUUGGCUAUGACAGUUGUUUGUUUUACUAUGUUCCUCCUUUCCUUAUUUUUGCCAUUAAUAGCAAAUGAAGCAAAGGAAACAUUAUUUGCAUCCCUGUUUAUAAAGAUAUAGAUUAUAUAAUAAUUGAUCUAUAUAAAGAUAAUCAUAUCCUGAAAUUCCCAUGGUUUGAUAUUUAAUUGUUGGUGUUUGACAAUUUCAUUUCAUGUUAAAGCAGAUUUUGGUGGAAAACAUCAUUUGCUAAAAUAUUCUUGCAUUGUUACAUGGUAGAAUAUGAUCACAUUAGCCUCUGAAUUAUGCCUCAUCAUGGUUUAAAAUAUCAUUCUUAGUUUUCAUUCUUUUGCCACAGCACAGUUCUUAAGUUACUAUCAUUUAAGUGGCUUGCCAUACAAUCAGUGCUACAGUCCCUGUAUAACACAUGGAGGCCUGUAGAUUACGGAGGACUACUGGGUAAUCACCUGCCCCAAGGCUCCCUUAAUUUUUCUGCUUUCCUUGGCAGUUCUAAGCUUUUGAAGAGUCAGUUGUGAAUGUACUCAGUCACAAAGGCCCAGUAAAUUUGUGUUUCAUUUAUUUAACUGAUUUGUUAUGCAAUUGUGAAGAAAUUAAAGUGUAAAACCAGAGUUGUUCUCUAAUAUGAGAAAAAAAAAGUCAUUUUCUUCAGUGGUGCUGAAUUUACAUGGGCAAAUCUGUAGAAAGUUAAUAAAGUCAUGUACUUUAAAUUCUGAUAUUCUCAAGAAUAGCU